GACGACGAGUAGCUGGUGUCCCACCUACGAUUUGGCCCUAGGUUGGGUCUGUAGUAUAGUCAGCCCACGUGCCUUCUAGUUUCAUCUGUCUGUACUCAGACAGUUUAAUUACUUCCGCUGGCUUGUAACUUGAAUGACUGUUAUGAUGGGUCGUGAGACCCCUACUGUGUAAUAUUAUGUGUGUGGCUCUUCCGAGCCUCUUAAAUAAAGCUUGUAUGUUUAUGGUUAUGUUGUGAUGCCAUCGAGGUAUCUAUACA
rnacentral:lncRNA from 1 species